ACGCUAGCUACAGGCUUAACACAUGCAAGUCGAGGGGCAUCAGGAAGAAAGCUUGCUUUCUUUGCUGGCGACCGGCGCACGGGUGAGUAACACGUAUCCAACCUGCCCUUUACUCGGGGAUAGCCUUUCGAAAGAAAGAUUAAUACCCGAUGGCAUAAUGAUUCCGCAUGGUUUCAUUAUUAAAGGAUUCCGGUAAAGGAUGGGGAUGCGUUCCAUUAGGUUGUUGGUGAGGUAACGGCUCACCAAGCCUUCGAUGGAUAGGGGUUCUGAGAGGAAGGUCCCCCACAUUGGAACUGAGACACGGUCCAAACUCCUACGGGAGGCAGCAGUGAGGAAUAUUGGUCAAUGGGCGCUAGCCUGAACCAGCCAAGUAGCGUGAAGGAUGAAGGCUCUAUGGGUCGUAAACUUCUUUUAUAUAAGAAUAAAGUGCAGUAUGUAUACUGUUUUGUAUGUAUUAUAUGAAUAAGGAUCGGCUAACUCCGUGCCAGCAGCCGCGGUAAUACGGAGGAUCCGAGCGUUAUCCGGAUUUAUUGGGUUUAAAGGGAGCGUAGGUGGACUGGUAAGUCAGUUGUGAAAGUUUGCGGCUCAACCGUAAAAUUGCAGUUGAUACUGUCAGUCUUGAGUACAGUAGAGGUGGGCGGAAUUCGUGGUGUAGCGGUGAAAUGCUUAGAUAUCACGAAGAACUCCGAUUGCGAAGGCAGCUCACUGGACUGCAACUGACACUGAUGCUCGAAAGUGUGGGUAUCAAACAGGAUUAGAUACCCUGGUAGUCCACACAGUAAACGAUGAAUACUCGCUGUUUGCGAUAUACAGUAAGCGGCCAAGCGAAAGCAUUAAGUAUUCCACCUGGGGAGUACGCCGGCAACGGUGAAACUCAAAGGAAUUGACGGGGGCCCGCACAAGCGGAGGAACAUGUGGUUUAAUUCGAUGAUACGCGAGGAACCUUACCCGGGCUUAAAUUGCAGUGGAAUGAUGUGGAAACAUGUCAGUGAGCAAUCACCGCUGUGAAGGUGCUGCAUGGUUGUCGUCAGCUCGUGCCGUGAGGUGUCGGCUUAAGUGCCAUAACGAGCGCAACCCUUAUCUUUAGUUACUAACAGGUUAUGCUGAGGACUCUAGAGAGACUGCCGUCGUAAGAUGUGAGGAAGGUGGGGAUGACGUCAAAUCAGCACGGCCCUUACGUCCGGGGCUACACACGUGUUACAAUGGGGGGUACAGAAGGCAGCUAGCGGGUGACCGUAUGCUAAUCCCAAAAGCCUCUCUCAGUUCGGAUCGAAGUCUGCAACCCGACUUCGUGAAGCUGGAUUCGCUAGUAAUCGCGCAUCAGCCACGGCGCGGUGAAUACGUUCCCGGGCCUUGUACACACCGCCCGUCAAGCCAUGGGAGCCGGGGGUACCUGAAGUACGUAACCGCAAGGAUCGUCCUAGGGUAAAACUGGUGACUGGGGC
rnacentral:rRNA from 1 species